rnacentral:rRNA from 1 species
GGUGAACGCUGGCGGCGUGCCUAAGACAUGCAAGUCGAGCGGGCCGCGGGGUUUUACUCCGUGGUCAGCGGCGGACGGGUGAGUAACGCGUGGGUGACCUACCCGGAAGAGGGGGACAACCCGGGGAAACUCGGGCUAAUCCCCCAUGUGGACCCGCCCCUUGGGGUGUGUCCAAAGGGCUUUGCCCGCUUCCGGAUGGGGCCGCGUCCCAUCAGCUAGUUGGUGGGGUAAUGGCCCACCAAGGCGACGACGGGUAGCCGGCCUGAGAGGGUGGCCGGCCAGAGGGGCACGGCGCCACGGGACCGAGUCACACGGGAGGCAGCAGCUAGGAACCGUCGGCAAGGGGAGCAAGCCUGACGGAGCGACGCCGCUCGGCGGAAGAAGCCCUGCGGGGUGUAAACUCCUGAACCAGGGACGAAACCCCCGACGAGGGGACUGACGGUACCGGGGUAAUAGCGCCGGCCAACUCCGUG